rnacentral:tRNA from 1 species
GGGCGCUUAGCUCAGCUGGUUAGAGCGUCUGAUUUACAUUCAGAAGGUCACAGGUUCAAGUCCUGUAGCGCCCA